CCCCGUCACAUCACCGAAAGUGGGUUGUACUAGAAGUCGUGCAUGCUAACCCGCAAGGGAGGCAGGCGGCCCAAGGUAUGACUCAUGAUUGGGGUG
rnacentral:rRNA from 1 species